rnacentral:rRNA from 1 species
UACGUAGGGUGCAAGCGUUAAUCGGAAUUACUGGGCGUAAAGCGUGCGCAGGCGGUUUUGUAAGUCUGUCGUGAAAUCCCCGGGCUCAACCUGGGAAUUGCGAUGGAGACUGCAAGGCUAGAAUCUGGCAGAGGGGGGUAGAAUUCCACGUGUGAGCAGUUGAAAUGCGUAGAGAUGUGGAGGAACACCGAUGGCGAAGGCAGCCCCCUGGGUCA